rnacentral:rRNA from 1 species
AGAGUUUGAUCCUGGCUCAGGACGAACGCUGGCGGCGUGCCUAACACAUGCAAGUCGUGGGAGAAAGCCUCCUUCGGGAGGUGAGUACACCGGCGGAUGGGUGCGUAACACGUGAGCAACCUGCCUGGCAGAGGGGGAUAACUCGGGGAAACCCGGGCUAAUACCCCAUAACGUGUCUUCUUCGCAUGGAGAGGUCACCAAAGGGGGCGAUCCUUCGGGAGCUCUCACUGUCAGAUGGGCUCACGGCUUAUCAGCUUGUUGGUGAGGUAACGGCUCACCAAGGCUUUGACGGGUAGCUGGUCUCAGCGGAUGAUCAGCCACACGGGGACUGAGACACGGCCCCGACUCCUACGGGAGGCAGCAGUGGGGAAUUUUGGACAAUGGGCGAAAGCCUGAUCCAGCGACGCCGCGUGCGGGAGGAAGCCCUUCGGGGUGUAAACCGCUGUCAGGGGGGAAGAACCGGUCCGGGCGAAUAGCCCGGAAAACUGACGGUACCCCCAGAGGAAGCGCCGGCUAACUCCGUGCCAGCAGCCGCGGUAAUACGGAGGGCGCAAGCGUUGUCCGGAAUUACUGGGCGUAAAGGGGGCGCAGGUGGCUUGGUAAGUCCUAUGUGAAAGCCCGCGGCUCAACCGCGGAACGCCAUAGGAUACUGCCGAGCUUGAGACGGGUAGAGGCGAGUGGAAUUCCCGGUGUAGCGGUGGAAUGCGUAGAUAUCGGGAAGAACACCAGUGAC